AGAGUUCGAUCCUGGCUCAGGAUGAAUGCUGGCGGCAUACUUAACACAUGCAAGUCGGACGGGAAGUGGUGUUUCCAGUGGCGGACGGGUGAGGAACGCAUAAAAACCUGCCCUUGGGAGGGGAACAACAACUGGAAACGGCUGCUAAUACCCCGUAGGCUGAGGAGCAAAAAGGAAUCCGCCCGAGGAGGGGCUCCCGUCUAAUUAGCUAGUUGGUGAGGCAAUAGUUUACCAAGGCGAUGAUCAGUAGCAGGUCCGAGAGGAUGAUCAGCCACACAGGGACUGAGACAUGGCCCAGACUCCUAUGGGAGGCAGCAGUGGGGAAUUUUCCGCAAUGGGCGAAAGCCUAACAGAGCAAUGCCGCGUAGAGGUAGAAGGCCUACGGGUCGUGAACUUCUUUUCCCUGAGAAGAAGUAAUGACAGUAUCUGGGGAAUAAGCAUCUGCUAACUUUAUGCUAGCAGCCGCGGUAAUAUAGAGGAUGCAAGCGUUAUCCAGAAUGAUUGGGCGUAAAGCAUCUGUAGGUGGCUUUUUAAGUCCGCCGUCAAAUCCCAGGGCUCAACCCUGGACAGGUGGUGGAAACUACCAAGCUGGAGUAUGGUAGGGGCAGAGGGAAUUUCUGGUGGAGUGGUGAAAUGCGUAGAGAUCGAAAAGAACACCAACGGUGAAAGCACUCUGUUGGGCCGACACUGACACUAAGAGACGAAAGCUAGGGGAGCAAAUGGGAUUAGAUACCCCAGUAGUCCUAGCCGUAAACGAUGGAUACUAGGAGCUGUGCAUAUCGACCCGUGCAAUGCUGUAGCUAACACGUUAAGUAUCUCGCCUGGGGAGUACGUUCGCAAGAAUGAAACUCAAAGGAAUUGACGGGGGCCUGGCAUAGAUCACACGCGGCCAAUGGUUUCAGAUAAGAGAAGAACCUUACCAGGGCUUGACAUGUUGCGAAUCCUCUUGAAAGAGAGGGGUGUCUUUGGGAACGCGGACACAGGUGGUGCAUGGCUACAAGUUAUUCUACUUCUAAGAGCUUCUUCAAAGUUAUGGCUAUCAUGGUGACCGCAAAGGUCAUUAAUGCCUAAGCCACAAGAACUCCAUCUAGGAAGGCAACGCCAAAAUGCAAGAAAGAGGGUUGUUAGCUGUG
rnacentral:rRNA from 1 species